CAGCAGCCGCGGGAAUACAGAGGGUGCGAGCGUUAAUCGGAUUUACUGGGCGUAAAGCGUGCGUAGGCGGCUUCUUAAGUCGGAUGUGAAAUCCCUGAGCUUAACUUAGGAAUUGCAUUAGAUACUGGGAAGCUAGAGUAUGGGAGAGGAUGGUAGAAUUCCAGGUGUAGCGGUGAAAUGCGUAGAGAUCUGGAGGAAUACCGAUGGCGAAGGCAGCCAUCUGGCCUAAUACUGACGCUGAGGUACGAAAGCAUGGGGAGCAAACAGGAUUAGAUACCCCGGUAGUCCCUGUCUCUUAUAA
rnacentral:rRNA from 1 species